rfam:Myotis brandtii contig129398, whole genome shotgun sequence.
GGCGGUUCUCGGGUGACGUACCCUGGAAUUGGGCUCCCUCCUCUCUGGUUCCGGGG